AGAGUUUGAUCCUGGCUCAGGAUGAACGCUGGCGGCGUGCCUAACACAUGCAAGUCGAACGAAGCAUCAUAAAGGAAGUUUACGGAUGGAAUUUAAGAUGACUGAGUGGCGGACGGGUGAGUAACGCGUGGAUAACCUGCCUCAUACAGGGGGAUAACAGCUAGAAAUGGCUGCUAAUACCGCAUAAGCGCACAGUGCCGCAUGGCAGAGUGUGAAAAACUCCGGUGGUAUGAGAUGGAUCCGCGUCUGAUUAGCCAGUUGGCGGGGUAACGGCCCACCAAAGCGACGAUCAGUAGCCGGCCUGAGAGGGCGACCGGCCACAUUGGGACUGAGACACGGCCCAAACUCCUACGGGAGGCAGCAGUGGGGGAUAUUGCACAAUGGGGGAAACCCUGAUGCAGCGACGCCGCGUGAGUGAAGAAGUAUUUCGGUAUGUAAAGCUCUAUCAGCAGGGAAGAAAAUGACGGUACCUGACUAAGAAGCCCCGGCUAACUACGUGCCAGCAGCCGCGGU
rnacentral:rRNA from 1 species